rnacentral:rRNA from 1 species
AUGAACGCUGGCGGCGUGCCUAAUACAUGCAAGUCGAGCGAACGGACGAGAAGCUUGCUUCUCUGAUGUUAGCGGCGGACGGGUGAGUAACACGUGGAUAACCUACCUAUAAGACUGGGAUAACUUCGGGAAACCGGAGCUAAUACCGGAUAAUAUUUUGAACCGCAUGGUUCAAAAGUGAAAGACGGUCUUGCUGUCACUUAUAGAUGGAUCCGCGCUGCAUUAGCUAGUUGGUAAGGUAACGGCUUACCAAGGCAACGAUGCAUAGCCGACCUGAGAGGGCGAUCGGCCACACUGGAACUGAGACACGGUCCAGACUCCUACGGGAGGCAGCAGUAGGGAAUCUUCCGCAAUGGGCGAAAGCCUGACGGAGCAACGCCGCGUGAGUGAUGAAGGUCUUCGGAUCGUAAAACUCUGUUAUUAGGGAAGAACAUAUGUGUAAGUAACUGUGCACAUCUUGACGGUACCUAAUCAGAAAGCCACGGCUAACUACGUG